rnacentral:rRNA from 1 species
CGAAGCGGUGACGUGGAGCAAACCUCAGAAAGCCAAUCUCAGUUCGGAUUGUAGGCUGCAACUCGCCUACAUGAAGUUGGAAUCGCUAGUAAUCGCGAAUCAGAAUGUCGCGGUGAAUACGUUCCCGGGUCUUGUACACACCGCCCGUCACACCACGAGAGUUUACAACACCCGAAGUCAGUGGCCUAACCGCAAGGAGGGAGCUGCCUAAGGUGGGGUAGAUGAUUGGGGUGAAGUCGUAACAAGGUACC